GUAGAAAUAGUUUAACUAAAAUAUUAGAUUGUGAUUCUAAAGAUAAAGAUUAAAACUCUUUUUUCCACC
rnacentral:tRNA from 1 species